CAAGCCGUGUACACCCUCUCUCCCUCCCUCUGCCGGUUCCCCUCUGUCCAUUGUCGUGUUUGGUCAGUUUUCUGUCAAAAUAACUUUUAUUGUCUGAGCCUCUCUGUCCUGCAGGGCUCCAGGAGCUUGGAAGACAAGCUGUUUUCCUCCAGCGAUUCCAUCAAUAAGAAGAAAAUGGGAAAUGAGCGCUGAUUUAUGGCUGAUUCUUCAUAACAAAUAGCACCAGCACUCUCUCUAGUCACCCGGACUACAAGACCAUCCCUACUACUUUGGACUUUUCAAAGCCAUCCAGUAGAACACCUGACCCAAGAACAGUUUCCAGCAGCCCAGGCUUCUAGAAAGAGGCCUGUUACCCUCCACUCUGUUCCCUCGAGACUUCUCAUGCUACCCAGAUCACUGCCGACUGGUGUGCUUAGAAAACAUGUCAAAAGAUACAACCAAAUCCAGAUGUCCAGGACACAGCACAAAAACACAAGCAAUGUGAAAAAAAUAAGAGGGUACGUCUCCUCCAAAGAUCACCAAACCUGCACAAACACUGAUCCAGUUGACAUUUGGGAAGGAAAUUUCCCAAACAAAUCAUUUGUGGCAUCCUUGGGAAGAUUUCUGGGAGGUUAUACACGAUGGGAAGACCUGGCAUCAUCAUACCUCAAGUUUAUAUCAGUCAGUUUCUUUAAUUAAAAGAACUCUUGAGUAAAGACAUGAGCUCAGACUUCAGCAUGCACAAGUAUCAUCUGCCUGCAGGACAAGAAUGUAGAACUCCAGAGAAAGGAACAGCAUGGGAACAGUGGUGAUUGGAGAAAAAAAAAAAUCUAGACAUUGUCACCAGCAUCCCCAGUGCCUGGGAGGAUCUGAGGGUCCUAACCAAAAUGGUUACAUCUACAACACAACUCAUGUACGUAAGGCUCAGGGAAUGUCAUGGGAAAGGGUAUAGAAAGAUCGUAAGAGCCAGAAGACCAGGAUAUCUGCUGUCAAUGUGUGCCUCUCAGAAAUGGCAGGAAAGCUUCACCCAUGACACCUUAACAAUAUGACUGUCUAUACAAGACCUUGAAGUAAAACACUAACAGACAAGACACACUAACAUGGAAGCAAGAAGUCUCGUGGGGUCCCGCCCCUAAACAAAGAGCUACAGGCAACUAAAGAAUGUAGAGAGUGGGAGAGAUGGUCUUUCCCAAGGAUUGUCUCACUAACUGGUUAUCCACUACCCAGCAGUCAGCCCUGAAAUCAUAUAUGUAGAAAUAACACUAAACAGACUGAGCAGGUUGUAUGUCUAUAUUUCUGUAUUUUUCAUAUAUAUAUAUGAAAAA